CCUACGGGAGGCAGCAGUAGGGAAUAUUCCUCAAUGAGGGAAACCCUGAAGCAGCAACGCCGCGUGGAGGAUGAAGGUUUUCGGAUUGUAAACUGCUGUCGCGAGGGAUGAAGAAUGACGGUACCUCGUAAUAAAGCCCCGGCAAACUACGUGCCAGCAGCCGCGGUAAUACGUAGGGGGCGAGCGUUGUCCGGAAUGACUGGGCGGAAAGGGAGUGUAGGCGGCAUAUUAAGUUAUGUGUGAAAGCCCGCGGCUCAACCGCGGAAUUGCACAUAAAACUGGUAAGCUGGAGUGCAGGAGAGGUAAGUGGAAUUCCAGGUGUAGCGGUGGAAUGCGUAGAUAUCGGGAGGAACACCAGAGGCGAAGGCGACUUACUGGACUGUAACUGACGCUGAGGCUCGAAAGCGUGGGGAGCAAACAGGAUUAGAUACCCUGGUAGUC
rnacentral:rRNA from 1 species